UAUUUAUUUAUUUAUUUUAUGCUGUUAUGCUUAGAAGUAGACUUUUUUUCUUCUGUUAUACCUCAUUCACAAUUAUAUUUUUGUUUUUAUAAAGCAUUUUGUUUUGUUGUCUUGUUUGAUUAAUUUAUGCAUUUUUAUAAAGCAUGUUAUAUUGAUUAUAAUGAAUUCAUAUUUAAUUCACUAUUCUAUUUUUUAUUUGUAUAAAAUUUAUUUAAAACAUAUAUUUACUGAUACAAACAUAUACCACUCUAAUUUUUUUUUGAAAUAUGCCACUCUCCUGCUCUUUGUGACUUAGCCCGUCUUUAUUUUAUUUUUUUUAAAAAACAACCACUAAGGAUUAUUUUUAUAUUUAUUAUUAUUAUUUUUUAAGGCUUCCAAAAUGAAAGCACGACGCCGUUUUCCCGCUCUGUUACCCAUCGUCCUCCCUCUCUCGUUGAUCGUCACUGAGAAUCAUCUUCCGACGAUUGAAUGUCGCUCAACAACGUCUAGAUCUAGGGACCGGCGAUGUACGACGGAUCGUUGAUUAUUUUAGGAAUCGACAGCUUCUUAGAUCCGAAUUUCACAGUUUCCAAACCUCAGAUGUGUGGUAUCAAAUUAUAAUCUGAGCCCUUUGCUCGGUAUUCUUUGGUUCCACGAAGCUUUUAAAGCACUGAGAUCCAGAUGAUACUCUAUCAUGGCUUCGUUUCUUGACCUGCAAUUGCCGCUCAAUCUCUGUUCGGAGCAAGCCACUCAAUGUCUGUUCUUCUCAGUCUCAGAAGUCAUGAUCCACAAUAGAAGUGUAUAGAGUACUUAAAUUAGAUUUGAUCUGUAAAUUUAUUUGUUUGAUUUUAUCUCAAUAGAAGUGUUAGUUGUUAAAGUACCAGUUUGGGGCUGGGAUUGGUUCACCUAACCUACUCCGAGCGGUUGGUGUGGUCAGGCAAGCGAAACUCCUGCAAUACUAUGUUGAUUUGCGCAGGGAGGGUUUCACUUCUCAGCGAUCUAAAAAAUGUAGUUUUAGAAUGGAAAAAGGGAGAGCUUGAACUUCACCUGCCAUUUCAGUAGAGUCUAAUGAAGUAAAUAUCUACAGUUCAUGAAACUUUCAGUUCCACAACAUACAUCGAUCUAACUGUCUUCACAGCUGGUAUAAUCACAGUAAUAUGGGUAGAAUCUUGUAAGCGCUCAUCCUAUGUUCCUCCACUCAAAUGCCACAUCACAUAAAUGGGUCUUUGGAGCUAUGGCGGCGUUGCUUGAUAAUGCAGUCAAUGAGGUACCAAAUGGGGCUACUUUUGUUGUUACAGACAAGAUUACCAAUCCACGGGAUGGGAAUCCAGCUUUGCUCAUUCAAGAUGGUGGUAGUGGAAUGGAUCUGGAAGUGCUAAGGUUUUGUUUGAGCUUGGAUUUUCAGACAAGAAAUUAAUAUCCACCAUUGGACAGUUAAGUCAAAGUGUCUGACUCCUCUCUUAUACGUUGUUGAGACAAACAGGCCAUGGCAGAAUAGUUGUACCAAUGGUGGAUUAUGAGUUCAUGCAUCAACUCGAAAGUUGGAGCCCUUGCUUCCUAAUGGUAAAGAAAAAAAUUUAUCUAACCUAUCAGUUCUUUUGCAGUGGUCUCUUUUGACAUAAUAAAAAUAAUAGUAACAUUUCUGUUUCAAGCUUCUCAUUUGCAUUCUGCUUUUGCUUUAUAAUUGAGAUAUUAUGGAAUAUUUUUGCCUCCUUGCUUAACAACAGGUAAAAGAGAAGGAAAAAAAUUUACGCUCCCAAAAAAUAAAAUAUGCUUAUCUAGUUUUUUACAAUUUUAUUUGUAUAGUUAGGCAGAGAAUAAUGGGGCUUUAUGGAUGUUUGGUGGGAAUAAAUUGCUUAGUAAUGUUUUGGUAACAUUUGAUGUGUUGUUAUAUGGACACAACACUCCAUUCACUAUAGUUAAACUGUUAAAUGAAAAUAAAGUCAUUUAUUUGUGGAGGAAAAGAAAAAAAAAGAAAACAAAGUCAUAUAUUUAUGAAGAAAAGUAAAAAAGAAAGCAAAGUAAUUAAUUGAAAUCCCCAAAACAGUUGAGAUAUUUCUCAUAAUUGAUUAGCAUUGUAUUAUACCACAAAAUUGAAUGGGUGGACCAAUGUUCAAACACGGUAUAAAACCACUCAAAAAAGUACAAGAAUAUUAGAAUAAAGAGGCAUAUAUUUCUCAAGAAACAUUGGGAAAAUAACUUAAGCAUGUUGCGAAAGAUUUGUGCGUACUAAACAAUGACAUCAAUGAUAAUUAUUCAAUUCUCAAGUUGUGAAUUUGGAGUUCUCAGAGUUUCUCCUAUCACAUCUUUGUUGCAAAAGCCUCAGAGAAGAUAAGGAGUUAGUGAGUUACUCUCCAAAUUAAAUGCUCCAACAGUUUGUUGAUUCUAAGAGAUCUGCUUGUGGGAAAGAUUCUUAUAGAAGCCAAUCAAAAGUUGCUCAAGAGGGGUAAAAAAUGCUGAAGCCUACAAGAGACUUGGUAAGGGUGCAUAUGGGUGGGGUUUAACGAGGAAUCUGGGGCUACGGUUUUGGGACAAAGAAGGGAUUGGGAAAUCCAAAUUACAAGGUCCUCAGUUGGAUAACUUGGGAAUUGAACUUAUAAAUUCAUCAUCACCGUCCUUGCCUUUGUCCCAUAUGGAUGGGGUCAGCCACAUGAAUUCUCUUUUUCCACUCUUUUGGUCCAUCCUAUUAUAGACUAUGUCUGCUCUUAAUUUAGAUUUUAAAAAUCGUUUUUAAAUACUUUUCCCACGUAAGCUUUGGUCUGCCUCUUUGUCGCUUACCCUCUAGACAAACAACUCUACCUCUUUUAACAUGUGCAUCAUCAGGUCUGUGUUGAAUAUGACCAUACCACUUAAGUCUACUUUUGCUAAUUUUAUCAUUUAUAGGCGCUAUACCUAAUGUUCCCCUAACACGUUCAUUAUUUAUCUUUUCUGUUUUAGUAACUCCUAUCAUCCAACGUAAGAUCCCAUUUCCACUAAUGAAUGCAUUGUAUUUGUGUCUUUUUCAACGCCUAACACCCCACUCCAUACAAUAUUGCUGGCCUAGUAACCGUUCUAUAGAAUUUUUUUUAAAGUUUAUUUGGUAUUCGUUUGUCACAGAGGAUACCAUUUUCACCUUAUCAAUUCCUUCACCACUAUUGUAACCAUCUUAUAGGAUUAACAUCAUUGCCAUUGUUGCCAACCCCACCAAAACCUCACAAAAUUAUCUUUACAGUUCUAUGAAUUGAAUAUAACUGAUGUUGAUUGUUAUUAAAAUUUCAAUCCGUAGGGUUUUUGUGAGCUCUGAAGAGACCUUCCACUACAACAAAAUCGGCUUUUAACAACACAUUUUCUACAAGGGGCGUGCAUAGCCCUUGUAGAAAGUACUUUCUACAACAGGCCGUGUAAGCCCUCGUAGAAAAGUAGUUUUCAACAACAGGCCCAGAUAGCCCAUUGUAGAAGGGACUUUCUACAACAGGCCCGCAUGGCCACUUAUAUAAUAGGGUUUCUUUUUCUGAAAAGUUAAUUUUGGCGGCUUGAUGAAAAAAGGCGGCUUUUUUUUCAUCAAGCUCUAGCAGCGCGCAAAAAAGGUAGCAUUCCUAUACCUCCCAAAUUCGUACACAUCAAUCCAUCAACCAAAAUCCACACGAAACCCUAAUCCUCUAAGCCCAAAUUUUGCGAGUUUCACCUUCAGAGGAAAAUAACCCAGGUACGUGCGUGUAUAUAUAUAUAUAUAUGGUUCAUCUCUGUUCUUCUUUGAACCCUCAUCUCUGUUCUUCUCCUCUCUUCCUUCUCUGAGCUCUAACACAGGUUCCCCGUGAGCGCAAAUUGAUCUUUUGAUCAAAUUCACUAUCCAAUCCCUAAUCAAAAACAAAAAAAUUCACUAUCCUUCUUCCCACUAAUCUCUCCUCAGUUUUCGCCUCUUUUUAUCUCAAAAACCCUAGAUUUAUCUUUCUUUGAUGUGCCCUCAUCUAACAAGUUUGGUGCAAAAUCGGCCGGUCUGUUAACCCGAGCCCCAAGAGGCACCUAUUGGUCUCGUUAGGUCUGAGGCUUUUCAUCUGAAUCUGCCCGGGUAGUCAGCCAAACCAAUCAACAACACCUUGAACCAUCAACAUCAUCCACUUAGCUUACCUUGCUGAUCCGUGUUCAAAUGCUAUCUCGUGAGGCGAAAGGAUGGGAUUGGGGCUCAUAAACCAUAUUAUUCUUGUUCAGACUCCCUAAGAUAAGCGCGCAACGAAGAAGCGAAGUGUUUAAAAGGAUCACAGUCAUCACAGAACCUGUUAUUUUCUCCAUCAACAAUAGAUUGAAGCCCUUAAAUCUCUUCCACUGGUGCCUUGAUUGCUGUGUCAAGGCAUGCAAGUGCAACUCCUUUGCGACCUUCUAUUCUCAGUCACGGUGUUGGUUGGCAGGGAGUGGGCAUAUUGUUCUCUGGAAUAUUUGGAACCGGGAAUGGAUCCUUAGUAUCAGUUGAAAAUGCUGGUUUGUUAGCAUUGACACGUGUUGGCAGCCAAAGAGUUGUGCACAUAUCUGCUGGUUUCAUGAAUUUCUUUUCCAUACUUGGGAAAUUCGGAGCUGUCUUUGCCUCAAUCCCAGCACCAAUCAUUGGAGCUCUGUAUUGCCUUUUCUUCGCCUAUGUGGGAAAAUGAGACUAAUGAAAUCAAAAAGGGAACUAACACCUCCUUCCCUGCAGGUGCAGAGUGUUUCCAGGUACUUAAUAUCAUUAAUUCCUUUAGAACUUGGAAUCAAUGUCGUAACUAUGGUAAUAAGGCUCACACCAUCCCACAUAUAGGAUCAACACUAUCACAUAAUGUGAUAUCAUAAAUUAACAACUUAUUAUAUAACUUUGCCUUCUUCAUAAGUAGGCUCAAAUCCUGGUAAAAUUAAGCUAACAUAUGAUAGACAUGGGGUUAAGCCUUUGUAUUGAUUGGCAUAGAGUCCGGCAUAACCUUUGGCAUGAGAUUUGUGCUCUUAAAUUAAUAACAAGUUGUUUAUACUUGAGGAACAUGAGACUGGAGAAAUUCAGGAGGGAAUCAAAAGCUCAUUUACUGCAGAGUUGUUUCAGAGAAUGAGACUGAAGAACUCCGAAAGGGAAUCAAAAGCUCCUUCCCUGUAGAAUUGUGCUUUCACAAGAACAUUUUUACCCUGCAUUCUACUCCCUCUGUUCGUCCAGAGCACCAGAGAAUUUCCACUGUGGACUAAUUGGUUAUCAGCAAGUGAAGAAAGCUUCUCCUGUUUCAGUGCCUUCCCAGAAACCACUUCUUUCAAGAGCCCAUAGUCGUGUAGAGCAACCCGUGCUACUGAAUCAUGGUUCAUUGAUAAUUGGAUAAUCCAUGACCAGUUUCUCCUGAAAUUGGAUCCUUCGAAUAUGAUGUGGCCACUCCACACGUCUCUGCUAGAAUAUUGACAGCCAUUAUCUUGGUACAGAGAACUGUGGACUGAAACUUGGAAAAUGCCUUAUUGAUCCAUAUUAGACUUGCAAUUUACAAGCCGGACUAAAUAUGAGGAAGGAAGGAACAAGCUUCUGCAAUGGAAUUUGAACAUGCAAAAUGGCCCACAGAUUCAGGGUGUUUGCAACUGAUGCCCUUCUCUACAUUGGAGUCGAUCAGGUUUGUUAAAAUAUGCCUAUCAAAAUUUUAAUAGACUACGGGAAUGUCAUGUAAUGUUUGACGAAAGAAAUAUAUGUAUUGAAACAAAGGGAAAUGUUUUGAUCUGCUUACACUUCUAGUCUUUUUAAUUACAUCUCACAGAAUUAUGCAUUUGUUUGCUGCGAUUGCCAUUAGAAAAUGCAUGUUCAACAGUUAUAUCAGUAUUUGUAUCAUAUGCUUAUUGGAGAGUUGAUUUUGGUUCUAUUGUAGGUUUAAAAUGUUUAUGAGAACCAGAUAUAAACUUUUUGCCUUUUUAUUCUUUAUUUGUGUGGCUUUCAUUUGUAAUCUAUGGUUAACCUCCUCCUUUGUGCCCCUUGGGAUGUCCCUAGUAAUAUUUUAUGGUGUACAAGAUAUAUUAGUACCUUGUUUCUCAAAUAUGUCUAUUCCUUUUUCUUUCAACAUGUACUUCUGCAAGCGCAGGAAAUGAUAUAUAUAUUUUUAUCUUUAAGAACAUCUGGCUGGAGAAACUCUGUGCAUCAACGCUACCCUUAUCUCUUUAGUAGUCGGUAUACACGUUGAAAGAGGAGUCAGUAUACAAGAAAAUGAGAAACCCCAUUCACAGUAGGUACAGCACGGGUUUACUUUAUAUGUUUAUGAAGCUUGCACUAGCUCAGGCUUGGCUACUCUCGUCACUUUUUUUCUUACUAUUGCCACAUUAACACUGAGAACAGGCGGCCUCAUUAUAUUACAGGAUCCGUUUAGUUGAUUGACAAUGCCGUGUGGCAAAAAGUUGAGGUAAAGGGAAGCAAUAAUUGAAGAUCUAGGUCCCAAGUGUAUGACCUCCACCGCCAAGCUUGCCCUGACUUGCACCACUACAUCACCCAAAGUACAAAAUUGAAUAACCCAACUUGCUUGUUCUUUCUGAAUCAAAUUCAAACUGCACAGUCUAGGGUUUGCCUCUUUAGUUAGCACCGGAUAUGUUUGAAGAAGACGAAGACAACAUUAGUCUAGGGUUCUCUAGACUAAAAUUGUCCUUUUUCUUCUUUUGGGCCUUGAUGGGCUGGUCUGCACUGUUUGUAAGACAUGUUGUCUUCAGUUUCCUUUUUUUUUUUGGGUGUUGUCUUCAGUUUCCUUUUUUUUGGGUUUGGCUUCUUAGCCUUGUACAUUCUUACUUCAUUUAUACAAAAAAAAAAAAAAAAAAAAAAAAAAAUAGUUU